rnacentral:misc_RNA from 1 species
GAUGAAGAACGUAGCGAAAUGCGAUAAGUAGUGUGAAUUGCAGAAUUCAGUGAAUCAUCGAAUCUUUGAACGCACAUUGCGCCCCUUGGUAUCCCGAGGGGCAUGCCUGUUCGAGCGUCAUUUCACCACUCAAGCCUGGCUUGGUGUUGGGCGACGUCCCCUUUGGGGACGCGCCUCGAAACGCUCGGCGGCGUGGCACCGGCUUUAAGCGUAGCAGAAUCUUUCGCUUUGGAAGUCGGGGCCCCGUCUGCCGGAAGACCUACUCGCAAGGUUGACCUCGGAUCAGGCAGGGAUACCCGCUGAGCUUAAGCAUAUCAAUAAGCGGAGGA